ACGUAGGUGACGAGCGUUGUUCGGAAUUAUUGGGCGUAAAGGGUUCGUAGGAGGUUUAUUAAGAUUGGUGUGAAAUCCCAAUUCUCAACCUUAGAAAGAGAUUGAUUACUGAUGAACUAGAGUGUCGUAGAGGAAAGCGGAAUUCCAGGUGUAGCGGUGGAAUGCGUAGAUAUCUGGAAGAACACCGACAGCGGAGGCAGCUUUCUGGGCGAUAACUGACUCUGAGGAACGAAAGCAUGGGGAGCAAACAG
rnacentral:rRNA from 1 species